AUGAACGCUAGCUACAGGCUUAACACAUGCAAGUCGAGGGGCAGCAUGGUCUUAGCUUGCUAAGGCCGAUGGCGACCGGCGCACGGGUGAGUAACACGUAUCCAACCUGCCGUCUACUCUUGGACAGCCUUCUGAAAGGAAGAUUAAUACAAGAUGGCAUCAUGAGUCCACAUGUUCACAUGAUUAAAGGUAUUCCGGUAGACGAUGGGGAUGCGUUCCAUUAGAUAGUAGGCGGGGUAACGGCCCACCUAGUCUUCGAUGGAUAGGGGUUCUGAGAGGAAGGUCCCCCACAUUGGAACUGAGACACGGUCCAAACUCCUACGGGAGGCAGCAGUGAGGAAUAUUGGUCAAUGGGCGAGAGCCUGAACCAGCCAAGUAGCGUGAAGGAUGACUGCCCUAUGGGUUGUAAACUUCUUUUAUAAAGGAAUAAAGUCGGGUAUGCAUACCCGUUUGCAUGUACUUUAUGAAUAAGGAUCGGCUAACUCCGUGCCAGCAGCCGCGGUAAUACGGAGGAUCCGAGCGUUAUCCGGAUUUAUUGGGUUUAAAGGGAGCGUAGAUGGAUGUUUAAGUCAGUUGUGAAAGUUUGCGGCUCAACCGUAAAAUUGCAGUUGAUACUGGAUAUCUUGAGUGCAGUUGAGGCAGGCGGAAUUCGUGGUGUAGCGGUGAAAUGCUUAGAUAUCACGAAGAACUCCGAUUGCGAAGGCAGCCUGCUAAGCUGCAACUGACAUUGAGGCUCGAAAGUGUGGGUAUCAAACAGGAUUAGAUACCCUGGUAGUCCACACGGUAAACGAUGAAUACUCGCUGUUUGCGAUAUACGGCAAGCGGCCAAGCGAAAGCGUUAAGUAUUCCACCUGGGGAGUACGCCGGCAACGGUGAAACUCAAAGGAAUUGACGGGGGCCCGCACAAGCGGAGGAACAUGUGGUUUAAUUCGAUGAUACGCGAGGAACCUUACCCGGGCUUAAAUUGCAGAUGAAUUACGGUGAAAGCCGUAAGCCGCAAGGCAUCUGUGAAGGUGCUGCAUGGUUGUCGUCAGCUCGUGCCGUGAGGUGUCGGCUUAAGUGCCAUAACGAGCGCAACCCUUGUUGUCAGUUACUAACAGGUUCCGCUGAGGACUCUGACAAGACUGCCAUCGUAAGAUGUGAGGAAGGUGGGGAUGACGUCAAAUCAGCACGGCCCUUACGUCCGGGGCUACACACGUGUUACAAUGGGGGGUACAGAGGGCCGCUACCACGCGAGUGGAUGCCAAUCCCAAAAACCUCUCUCAGUUCGGACUGGAGUCUGCAACCCGACUCCACGAAGCUGGAUUCGCUAGUAAUCGCGCAUCAGCCACGGCGCGGUGAAUACGUUCCCGGGCCUUGUACACACCGCCCGUCAAGCCAUGGGAGCCGGGGGUACCUGAAGUGCGUAACCGCGAGGAGCGCCCUAGGGUAAAACUGGUGACUGGGG
rnacentral:rRNA from 1 species